rnacentral:rRNA from 1 species
CCUGCCGCAUGCAGGGGGAUACCGGCUGGAAACAGCCGCUAAUACCGCAUAUGCGCACAGCGCCGCAUGGCGCAGUGCGGAAAGGGAGCAAUCCCGGCAUGCGAUGGGUCCGCGUCCGAUUAGCUUGUUGGCGGGGCAGCGGCCCACCAAGGCGACGAUCGGUAGCCGGCCUGAGAGGGCGGACGGCCACAUUGGGACUGAGACACGGCCCAGACUCCUACGGAAGGCAGCAG